CUCGCUGUGAAGCGCCAGCCCCCGUCCCCGGCCCUGGAGAAACAGUCGUCGUGUCACCCCGGGGUGCCGCCCUGCCUUUGUUCCCUCGCUGCGGGGUGGGGACUUGGGAGAGAGUCAGGCACGUCCAGGAUUUUUCUACUUCUGCUUGGAAAUCGGGCAGCGGCCUGUAGGACCGAAGUGACUCAUGCGUCAGACACUGGAAAGUGGCUUAAGCACCAUUAAUCCUGCAAAUGUUCAUGUAACUUUAAAGCCAAAUUUGUGCUCCCCAUCGUCGCUGGUUGUGCCUGAAUCCAGUCCCCCCUGCGUAAUUUAAAACAGCGUGAAGGCUGCUCCACAUUAUGCGGGCUCCAAGAGGCUGUUACGCAGCAACUGGGAUGCAAGGAAAUCCUAGCGAUGCCCCGCUCCAGUUGCAGGGAAGGGGAGCCGCAGAGAAGUCUGUAUGCCACCACGGAGUCCCUCUGCACUGGAGGAUUCAGGUCCAUAUUGUGCUGGCAGAGGCACAAAGGAAGCCCAGUUCUGGGGAAAAUGUAGCCCUAAAUCUUCCCAAAUGUUAUAUUUAAAGGACAAUGCAUAAAAAUGUAAUAUAAGUUUACAGAGGUGCAGUAGUGCUAUGAGAGACAUAAACAUUUCUACAAUUGCUCUUACUACAAAUAACCCAAAUACUUUUCUAUGUGCUUGAACCACUGGCAGGAGAAGAGGUCCAGCAGCCAUUCAGUAUCUCACCUAGCAUAUUGUCCAGGGCUCAGUCAGCUGGUUUCCAAUAGAAUAAUGAGCACAAAUGAGGGAGGAGCUUGGAAAAGUUUGUUACCUUUAUCAAUAUCUAUUAAAUAUUCUGGGGUGCUGGCUAAGGAACCCCUUUUGGGGCAUAGAGCUAAGAUGUGAAAGUCUUCCAGAUCUGUGGAUGGUGUUGGCUUAUUAUGAAUGCACCUACAAUAAUUAAUAAUACUGGACAGUUAUCUAGCAAUUCACAGCUUCAGAGUGUUGUACAAACAGUAAUUAAUCCUCAAACACUCCUGUAAAGUAGGUAUUGCUCCUGUUUUAUAGAUGGGGAAACAAAGACACAGAAAAGUUAUAUCAAAUGACUUUACUUGCACACAGCAAGUCAGUGGCAAAGCCAGGAGUAGAACUCAGAGUUAUUGUCUCAAAACUCUGGGUUUAGAAUGAUAGACUACUGAUAACAUUUUACUUUUACAAUACACCUUCCACCCUGAGGGAUCAGGAAGCAUUUUACAAAACACUGUAAGUGUGAAUCAUUUCAUCCUCACUGAAAUGCAGCAGCUGAAUACACAGGAACACUAUAUAUAGUUGAGAACAAUAUGUUAUUGAAACUGCAGGGAGAAAUUAGAUAGGCAAAAUGUAAUUAUUCAAACUGGAAUGUGGACAGAUACCAAGCUAAUAUCCUAUCUUGCAUAAACAUGCUAUGAGAUAUGUAUUAACCAGAAGUGGUUAGGAUCUCAGUUUAAUAUCUAAAAGACAGCACCAAUAGUACAGUAGUGCUUAUGGCAUCAUGCCACGGCACUGGAUCAAAAGGAAAUAUGCCAUUCACUGAAUCAAUAUCCACUUUUCUUCCUUGGAUAUAUUCUAUCCAAAUGCAUGGAGACCUAACCUGGGUUAGUAGGAGAGGACUUUUAAGGUCAGAGCCUGAGGUGAUGUGGCUGCAGGCUAACAGAUAUGAAUGGAUAGUGCAGAGAAUUGCUUUCUGCAAAAAUCUAUGUUAAAUUGGCAAAUAAUCUAUUUUGCUAGUACAAGACCAUCUACACAUAAGGGACUGACAUACUGUAUUAUUUAUUCAUGCCCUCAGUUUUCUUUUGAAUCACUUUCUUAAUUGUUUUGUAUGAUUGCUGAGCAGUUCGCGUAUUUUUGUAGAUUAUGUGAGCUAAUGUAUUUUUCCUUUGCAGUUUCUAAAACUAAACACUAUCCUAUCUCUUCCACUCUGUCCUCCUUCUCCUGGAAUAACACGUGUAUAUAAGGCAAAAUGUAUAAUGCACCAGUAUCUCCUGCAAAUUGUAACCAACCUUGUUUGUCUGAGUGAUUGUCUGACCAAGAAGUAGGACUGAGUGGACUUGGUAGGCUCUGAAGUUUUACAUUGUUUUAUUGUUGAAUGCAGUUUUUUUGUACAUAAUUGGACAUUUGUAAGUUCAACUUUCAUGAUAAAGAGAGUGCACUACAAUACUUGUAUGAAGUGAAUUGAAAAAUACAAUUAUUUUGUUUUUUACAGUGCAAAUAUUAGUAAUAAAUAUAAAGUGAGCACUGUACACUUUGUAUUCUGUGUUGUAAUUGAAAUUAAUAUAUUUGAAAAUGUAGUAAACAUCCAAAAAUAUUUAACAUAAAUGGUAUUAUAUUGUUAACAGCGAGAUUAAUCGACAUUAUUUUUUUAAUCAUGCGACUAAUCACGAUUAAUUUUUUAAUCGCUUGAUAGCCCAAGUACUGAGUGAAGUAAAGUUGUAAAAUCAAUGUUGGCAAAGCAAUAAAUGAAUCAUUAACGCAUUUCUGAAUUAGCAGAAAUAAUUCUCUGUCUAUAGACACAGAUAGGAUUUCUGCUUGUAUUUCACAAAGAAUCCAGCUUUGACCAUUGUCAAUUCUAUUUUUAAGCAUGUCUGACUGAGACAAGCUCUCAUGUUAUUGUAUUAUUUUACAAUCACGUGAGAUCCUCAGGUCCAGGUGGCUGUUGCGGUUUGUGAACCUGAUUCUUGAUCUGUAAAGUGAUCUCAUCUGAUCUGGCAGAGAGCCGUUUUAUUUUUAGGACAGUCAUUGCUAUGGUUACAGUGAAGGCAGACUUGGUUCUUAGUAUCCCUGAUUGUGGAGCAUUUGCUAUGUAAUUAUUAGUAACAAUAAAAUAAUUGUGAAAUUA